ACUGGGCAUGGUGGCGCAUGCCUGUAGUCCCAGCUCUUCAGGAGGCUGAUGGGGGAGGAUCGCUUGAGCUCAGGAGUUCUGGGCUGUAGUGUGCUAUGCCAAUCGGGUGUCCACACUAAGUUCAGCAUCAAUACAGUGACCUCCCGGGGGUGGGGGACCUCCAGAUUGCCUAGGAAAGGGUGAAUUGGCUCAGGUUGGAAUCGGAGCAGGUCAAAACUCCCAUGCUGAUCAAUAGUGGGAUCGUGCUUGGGUAUAGCCACUGCAUGCCAGCCUGGGCAACAUAGUGAGGGCCCAUCUCU
rnacentral:SRP_RNA from 10 species